UUAUGGUAGAAGCAGCGAAUAUAAAUUAACGUUCUCUGGUAGAAGUACACAUUGCGUUGUGAGCAGCGAUUUGUUUUGUUGAAACGCAACCACCAAUCUUGAAUAUAUGUAUAUAAGUUUUCAUUCACUCGUAUAAACGGUCUUCGAAUUCUCAGAAAUGUUAACGAAUUGUGAAUUGAAAACAUUGGACAUUUGCGAAAUAAAGCAUACUUACCUGGCGUAGAGGUUACCGUGAUCAUGAAGGCGGUUCCUCCGGAGUGAGGCUUGACCAUUGCACCUUCGGUUGAGUUGACCCCGCGAUUAUUCCUAAUGCGAAAAACUCGUGCGUGUAAUUUUUGGUAGCCGGGAAUGGCGUUCGCGCCGUCCCGACAUUGUUGAAUGUAUAAUAUGGAAAUAAGUAAAUGGAAGGGAUUUUGUCGCUUUUAUUGAAAUAAACGAUGAGGAUAUUAUUAUCAGGGGCGUUGCAAGAUUCUGAUAGUUAUCGAAAGCAGAAUGGAAACCGAUAUGGAAAUGUCGUAGAGUCAUGAAUUUCAGAUAUUAUUUGUGUUCGAAACAGAAAUUUUAUCGAUUUGUUAUCAGAAGCGCAAAGCAAUUCGCUGACAGACUUGAAAUGGAAAAACAUAAGAAUAAAGCACAAAAUGAGUGACAAACAUUUUAAGAGGAUUUACGAAACGUAAUUUAACACCCAAAUGCGUCUAUAUUCAGUCGAUAA